rnacentral:rRNA from 1 species
CCCUCGACCUUAGUUGCCAGCAUUCAGUUGGGCACUCUAAGGUGACUGCCGGCUAAAAGUCGGAGGAAGUGGGGAUGACGUCAAAUCAUCAUGCCCCUUAUGACCUGGGCUACACACGUGCUACAAUGGGCGGUACAAAGGGUCGCGAACCCGCGAGGGGGAGCCAAUCCCAAAAAGCCGCUCUCAGUUCGGAUUGCAGGCUGCAACUCGCCUGCAUGAAGCCGGAAUCGCUAGUAAUCGCGGAUCAGCAUGCCGCGGUGAAUACGUUCCCGGGCCUU